rnacentral:tRNA from 2 species
GGUGAAAUGGCUGAGAUCAGGCAAUAAACUGUAAAUUUAUUUACGAAUAAUUUUAUUCUUUUACCA